UCCUGUGCAGAUGCUCUUGCCCGUCUAGGAUCCAAGCUUCCCUCUGAUUUUUUGUAUUUCUCUUCCCCUCCCCCCUAUUUGUUUAACGUUUAUGUUUCGGACCUCUAUGGCCUCUAUCAUUCCAGGCUUUGCCCUGGCCCAGUUGUAUCUUCUUCUCUUUUUUAGAUUAAUGCUUUCUCCAGUUUACCAAAAAAAAAAAAAAAAAAAAAAGGCAUUAGCUUAGCUUUCCGUUGCAGCUCACCACCGACCUAUUUACUCAGAAAAUUUUCAAUUUAACAGUACCUAAUCUAAUGGUGAUCUUUCAGUUUCACAAACGGUAGCAAAUGAAUGAAUCAUUCAAAUUUCACAUCCUCCUCCUCAUCCUCCUAUUAUCGAUUCUUUUUGCAACGCGUUCUAAUGGAGAAUCAUCGACGUGCGUGACGGUCUACAAAGAAGGCGGCGCUCCCCCGGUCUUUCAAUCCCCAAAAUGCCCCCGCUGGACUCUCUCAAAUUACGGUUCCACCAUCACCAUCAUCACCACCACAACCUCAAGCACCGCUCCUUGCCAAUUGGCGAUACUUCAAGGUCGCCGAAAAUCCCAAGAGGAUCGCAUCCUCUGUGCCAUAUUCGCAUCCCUUUUCCUGGAGGCUUGUAGCUCAAUGGUAUUGUCCAGUUUUCUCCUUGCGAAGAACCUAGUCGUGGUGUUAUAUCUGCACCAGAGGUGACAGAUUGUACUCAUUAGCUGAUAGCAUAGUGAACACUGCCUUUGAACAUGUCUGGAUAAUAUGACAGCCGUUGUGGCUCCUUUGGGAUCUAUUGUUUUUUCUGAAGAUUUUCUCAAAGAAAGUUGUGUUGGAGAGGGAGACACAGAUUUCCCAGCAAGUAGUUGACUUCAUAAGUUAUGAACACUCAGUUUGUUAAAAAUAACCUGCUGCAACACUACUGUUAUCAACACAACAAGGAAUGCAAGACCCCGGAAGAAAUCUUCAAUGAAACCCACAUGGACCUCGCCAGGGAGGGAGGCAAGUGGCUGAAAAGCACUUCAAACUCCUGCUCUGUUGUGACUACACUCAUCACUACUGUUGUCUUUCUGGCGUCAACCACUGUUCCUGGUGGUAUCAAUGAUAGUAGUGGCAUGCAAAUCCUUGUAAAACCUCUAGCGUUCACCUUAUUUUCUAUUUCCUCACUUGUUGCUCUGUGCUUUUCUAUCAUUGCCUUGUUCUUGUUCCUCACCAUCCUCACCUCCCAAUACCAACAGAAAGAUUUCCGUGGCUGUGCCAAGAAAACUUCUGCUUGGCCUAACAUUGCUCUUUGUUUCCACUGGGUCAAUGUUGAUUUCUUUCUGUGCUGGACAAUUCUUCUUGCUAAAAAGUAAACUGAAAGAUAUGGCGCUUCCUGUAUGUACGAUGAUAUGCCUGCCGAUAAUCCUUUUAUCCAUAGCACAAUUUCCACCCUACUUCCAACUUUUAAAGGUUACUUUCAAGAAGGUCCCUCCACCGGGCUUUAAGUUAAGGUGGUUUCUCUCUAGGGUGCUUCGUCUACAUUCUACAACUUUGUGUUGGAUUGGUGAUUUUACCUUUUCUAUUGUUCGAGUACUAUGGUUUCUUCAUGGCGAGAAUUCUUUAAUGUACCUCAAGGAUUUGUCUUAUACAUAAUUAAUUAUGUUGAGAAUUCUUUUAGUUGUAGGACAAAAUUUGCCCAUGAAAGAAGAUAAAUUUGAUUACAACAAAGUGAUAACAUGUC